rfam:Triticum aestivum genome assembly, contig: Triticum_aestivum_CS42_TGACv1_scaffold_592067_7BS
UAUGUACUCCCUCCGCCCGGAAUUACUUGUCAUCAAAAUGGAUGUAAAUGAAUGUAUCUGAAACUAAAAUACAUUUAGAUACAUCCAUUUCACUGACAAAUAUUUCCGAACAGAGGAAGUACCAA